CGGCGAGUGAAGCGGCAACAGCUCAAAUUUGAAAUCUGGCUCUUUUAGGGUCCGAGUUGUAAUUUGCAGAGGGCGCUUUGGCGUUGGCAGCGGUCCAAGUUCUUUGGAACAGGACGUCACAGAGGGUGAGAAUCCCGUACGUGGUCGCUAGCCUUCGCCGUGUAAAGCCCCUUCGACGAGUCGAGUUGUUUGGGAAUGCAGCUCUAAAUGGGAGGUAAAUUUCUUCUAAAGCUAAAUACUGGCCAGAGACCGAUAGCGCACAAGUAGAGUGAUCGAAAGAUGAAAAGCACUUUGGAAAGAGAGUCAAAUAGCACGUGAAAUUGUUGAAAGGGAAGCGCUUGCAGCCAGACUUGCCUGUAGUUGCUUAUCUAGACUUUUGUCUAGUGCACUCUUCUGCGGGCAGGCCAGCAUCAGUUUAGGCGGUUGGAUAAAGGUCUCUAUCACGUACCUCCCUUCGGGGUUGGCCUUAUAGGGGAGACGACAUGCAGCCAGCCUGAACUGAGGUCCGCGCAUCUGCUAGGAUGCUGGCGUAAUGGCUGUAAGCGGCCCGUCUUGAAACACGGACCAAGGAGUCUAACAUCUAUG
rnacentral:rRNA from 2 species